GGUCAACCAACUUAAAUAAUGUGUUUGUCAACCUGUUGCACAAAUUAUACUGAAACAUGCAAGAGGGACUCUUGGAGGAAUGACUAAUGUACAGUAAACAUUCAUUCUGCAGUUUCACCAAACAUCAACUGAGAUCCAAGUCAAAUCCAGUUCCACACUGUGAGGAGGAGUCAAUGCAAAACUCAGAUGUCUUCCACCUCUACUUAUCUGACUGCAGAGAGGAUGACAGAGAACAGUGGACACACAGUUUAAGUUUUAAUGAUGGACUAUAGGACAGGACUGCUGCUGUUAACUAUCUGCUGGGCAGGUAUUGAUGGUCAGACUCUGACAGAAUCUGAACCAGUGGUUAAAAGGCCUGGAGAAUCUCACAGAUUGACCUGUACAGCCUCUGGAUUCACAUUCAGCAGCUACUGGAUGGCCUGGGUCAGACAGGCUCCUGGAAAAGGACUGGAGUCGGUUGCUGGUAUUUAUGACAGUAGCAACAUCUACUACUCUCAGUCAGUUCAAGGCCGGUUUACCAUCUCCAGAGACAACAGCAGACAGCAGGUGUAUCUGCAGAUGAACAGUCUGAAGACUGAAGAUUCUGCUGUUUAUUAUUGUGCUCGAGACUCAC